rnacentral:lncRNA from 1 species
GUUGCAGUGAGUCUAUAUCGUGCCAUUGCGCUCCAGCCUGGGCAACAAGAGCAAAACUUCGUCUCAAAAAAAAAAAAAAAAAGAAAGAAAAGAAUGGUAAAAUCUGUCAUCCUUAAAACAUUUGAUAAUUUGGAGAGAAAGUUAAAUUUUGUCCCUGUCCCUUCAGUAACUUUUUAAACUGUGUGGAAUUUAUGAGUUUUACAAGUACAAACUACGGUUCUGAUAUUUUCCUUAUGAACUCCUCUUGUACCAGUCCUCUUAACAGCUACCCGCAUACACACUCACUCAUACUACCUUGAACAUGAAUGCCCUAAAGAGAAAUGAAAGCAGAAACAUAUUAAUCUGAUUUGUUUGAAGAGGCUUCGGAUGAUAAAGCAUAUCACAGGUGUUUCUAAUCAAGUUAUUUCUAUUUUAAAAACAUUUUCAAGUUAGAACUUCCCUGAACAUUGGCAAGAUUGGGGUCAUUUUGAAGACCAUACACCUGUGUUCAGGGAUCAACUGUGGAACUGCAGGAGAUGGAAAUCUGUUGAGUGUCUUCAUGCUAUAAUACAUGACGUUUUUAUUGCAGGUUUUGACCUGUAGCAGAGAACCAAUUCUGGAGAACAGCCUCACUUCUUUGAUUGAAUACUCACAUAAUGCAUUGGAACAUGACAUGAGAUUAAGGUUUAAUAAUGAUAGAAUGAAGACCAUAAUAAAAGAGAUCUCUACUUAGCUCAGCAAUUCUUACCUUGUUACACUGAAGACUUUGUGAAGAGCUUAACAUUUAGCUGUUAAAACUUGAGGAGGUGGGAGAAACAUGAAAGCAGUCCCUUUUCCUUCCCUUUUGUUUUUUUUGUUUUUUUUAAUUUAUUCAGUACAUAUUUCUUGAGCAUCUACCAUGUUCCUAGUACUUUUCUAGGAGCUGAAGGUAUAGCAGUGAACAAAACAGAUAAACAAGUAAGUACAUAAAUUAGAAGAUUUCUGACAUGGAUUCAAAGUCAGAGGUUUCGGGUUGGGGCCAGGACCCUGCAUCUUUAGCAAGCUUUACCCGAGUAGGAUGGCAGCUGAUCUGUGGUCCAUGCAUCGUGUAAAGAACCCGCUCCAAAGAGCCAGGGAGCAGUGUCCAGCUGCAAGUCCCCCUUUCUUCUGUCAGGGAAGUUUGCAGAAGUGAAUCAGUGGAUAGCAACACCCAAGUGAUACCUUCAGGGUAGACAGGAAGACAGUCUGUUUAGUUGAAGGUCAGGAGCAGUCACCUUAAUUAUUUAAGACAUCAUUUCUUGCCCUGGAUUGCCCCAUCACCUCCCAACUAAACCUCAGAUAUUUCCUGCAAAUAUCAAAAUGAGGAUUUGUUUUUCUCCUUUUUCCUUCCUUUUAUAUAUACACAUGCAUACCUCUUUUUUAGAAUAAGAAACAUUUUUCUCCAAUUCAUUUAACUUUUGAGACACUUAGAAAUUCUAAAAGAAUAAUUUUAACAAGUUAACUGAAAUUAAUAUUAUGCCUCUGGAAAAACUCACAAGAUCAAGGGCAUAUAAAAUGCUCAGGAUACUUGUUUCCAUAGAAGUAUUUGAGACCCUAAAAUCAGUUACCAAAAAAUGUCAUUUCCAUCCAUUCCUUGAGCUAAUUCUGCAUCUCUGAAGAAAAACUCAAGGGCAAGACUUUCUGUUCUUAAUGAUGUUGAGGGCAUGUCUCUGUUUAAAUGAAACAAGUGCUUCAGAUGCUUUUAUUACAUUAUCUCACAGUGACUCAAAUGUGUAUGUGUUGGGGAUGGCCUUAUGAUCAUAGACAAUCAGCCAUUGAACUCAAUAAGGUGAGAAUUUUUAGGUGGGGGAUCAAUUAAAUAUUGAAAACUGUUAAUAAUAAGCCAGUUUGCAAAGUAGUAGCCAAAUGCCACAGGUCACUUUCUUUUUCUAAUUUUCUCCCGGUUACGUUUUUGUCUCUGGAAAAUUAGAAUGGAAACAUUUGCAAAUCCCUAAAGAAUCCUAUAUAGGCCAGGCUUGAAUUCCUUAAUUAGUCCCUUGGAAGCCAGCUCAGCCCUUCUUCAACUUAACUCUUAAAAAAAGAAGUCUUUUUAAUUCUUAUUACACUCGGACUGGAGGGCAGUCCACUUUUCAAAAAGAAAUAGGUAUCAUUUAAUUUCUAACAGAUACAUAAGCACAGAUAACAUCACAUUCUUCAUUUCAUCUCCUUUAUAAAUUUCUAAGCUAGCAGUCUUUCUUGGAUACUCUCCAGCAUCUUUUAAACAUAAGCCAUUUAUCAUAUUUCAUAGUUGGAAUGCUUUCUGUUGUCUGUUCUAGGUAGAUUCCCCUUAAUCUUAGAUCCUAAAAUGGUGAUGUUUCCAAUUAAACAAUACCCACAAUAAUAGGUACAUAGUGACUUACAAUAGUGAGUGAUGCUGUGUGAUUGUGUGUUCCCCUUCUCUCAUUUUUUUAAUGUUUGUUUAAUGCCAUUUUUUUAAGAUGGGAUAUAUAUAAAUAGGGAUAUAUAUAGAGAUAUAUAUUUUUUCUUUUUUUUUUUUUUUCUUUUUUUGAGACAGAGCUUCACUCUUGUUGCCCGAGCUGGAGUGCAGUGGUAUGAUCUUGGCCCACCAAACCUCCACCUCCCGAGUUCGAGUGAUUCUCCUGCCUCAGCCUCCUAAGUCGCUGGGGUUACAGGCAUGCGCCACCACGCCCAGCUAAUUUUGUUUUUUUUGUUGGUGUAGACGGGGUUUCUCUAUGUUGGUCAGGCUGGUCUCGAACUCCCGACCUCAGAUGAUCUGCCUGCCUCAGCCUCCCUAAGUGCUGGGAUUACAGGUGUGAGCCACCUCGCCCAGCCUAAGAUGGGAUUUUUUUUUUAAGCUGUUCGUUUGUGGAAUGUGGAUGUUCUAGAAGUUGUAGAACAGUGAUGUUCAUGUAUACAAUGUUGUCAAACAAUGGCAGUUUGGGAUUCAUUUUUACAAAUUAAAUAUAGAGAUGGAAUAUUUUUCAAGUUUAUUUUUCAAUUUACAGAUCUUUUUUUUUUUUUUUAAAUUUAUUUAUUAUUAUUAUACUUUAAGUUGUAGGGUACAUGUGCAUAACGUGCAGGUUUGUUACAUAUGUAUACUUGUGCCAUGUUGGUGUGCUGCACCCAUCAACUCGUCAUUUACGUCAGGUAUAACUCCCAAUGCAAUCCCUCCCCCCUCCCCCCUAAUUUAGAGAUCUUAAACUUUCGUUGCUUAACAAAAAAUUAAGAAAGAAUUAUAUGUCUUUUUCUUUUUUGAACUAUUUUUAUUUUUCACAUGGCAUUUUUGAAUAGAUAAAUUAUAUAUUUCUGUUUGUAAAUGUAAACAUAUGAUUACCUGCAAAGGUAAAUGCAUGUUUGCAUCUUUUAUGUAAAUUUAAAUAUAUAUUUGGUGCUUAAAAAACAUCUUUAGGUACAUUGUCAGCAGUUAAGAACAUUACAUCUCUCUUUUUAAUAAUCCACAACAAUAAAAAAUCUUAAAACAUUGACUUUAUAAAUAGAGAAAGAAAAGAUGAAGCAGAAAAUUCACCAGUGCUGUCAAUGUUAGUUCCAUAAACAAAAAUGAUAGACAUAAAUUACUUCCUAAUUCCAAAGACUUGCUAAAUUUGGCUGCUAUCAAGAACAAGGCUAGUAAAAAGAAAUAACAAAAUAUUUCUCACUUAUGACUAGUUAUCAAUAAGUUUUUAGAAGUAUUAUCAAGUUAGCAAUAAAAGCAAUGGCAUGUAAUCAUAUCAGCCUAGAAAACAUUGUCAAUUGUUAAAUUAUAAAUAGUACAAAUGUAGGACUGACUGAAAAUACUGCAAAAAAAAUCACAAUAUUUUAAUUAGUGUAGCAGUAAGUAAUCGAUGAUAGGGCAAAUGAUAUAAAAUCUGUUGUGCUUUCAAUAAAAUCAUAAUGAUGUAAUUAUGUUAUACACUAGACAUAGCCAAAGUUUCUCCUAUUUUUAAUUAUUGUGACAGAAAUUUACUGUUGUGUAAAUUGCUGUAUACCUGUGCCACUGAUGAGGAAAUUCUAUCUUGAAUAGUUUUAAAAAUGGGAAUGUUUCUGGGAGAAAGGAAUUUCUCAAAAGAGAAAAAAUAAAUUGCUCUUUUGCCAGUUGGAUUAGUGGUGAAGAGUGUUAUAAUCCAAAAAUUUCAUAAAGGUACCAGCUAUUGUCAGCAUUUGGUAGUAAAGAGAAUGUCUUAUAAACUUAUUGAUAUGAAGUGCCAUUAAUUUAGUAAAUAUAUAAAAUCUAGGCUCUUGUGUAUUCUAUAAUUUAUGAAUAUAGAGAAGGUUCACAAUAUGCUGCAACUGUGUUUCAUUGUUCAAAUAAUUGCUGUUUUGAGAAUUAGACGUUUAAUAAAAAUGCCAGGUGUUCCUUGUCCUCAUUCUUCCAUAUUUGUCUUAUAUAUGUUUAGCAAAAUGAUUGAGUUAAAUAUGAGCUUUUAUGUUCAAACCAUGGCUGUGUUUUUGCUCUUAAUAAAAUUGCAGCCAUAAAAUUUGAUUUUUAGUGCCAAAAUUAUAAAAAGGGGUUGGGUUUGUUUCAACCCGAACAACUUCUUACCUUCAAGAUGGAUGAUUCAAAGAGGAAUAAUAGGGAAUUUCUUAUUUAUGAAGUUACUUGGUUGUUUUCUUAGGAAAACAAAAACAAGGUAGAAUUUAACAGCAUGGGGCCUGAUUUAAAUAGAAAAUAAGUGUACCGAUAUAAUCAACUCUGCUGUCAUGGGGAUUUCAAGUUAUAAAUUUAACAGGUAAUAUCCCCUGACUUAUUCUAUAUACUUUUGCCCUAAUCUACUACCUAUUAGUCUGAAACUUGAGUUUUUAAACUUAAUCUCCAUGUAAAAACAGGAAUAAAUUGAAUGCAUAAUUAAAAUAUAUGUUGUCAAUUAUCAUACCUUUUUGCCUAGACUAUAAAUAAGCUUCAUUUUUCCUGUUAUAGUCACUAAAUUAAUUUAUGCUUGUUUUUCCAUUAAAACAAGUUACUUUGACCGGGUGCAGUGACUCAUACCUGUAAUCCCAGCACUUUGGGAGGCCGAGGCGGGCGGAUCAUGAGGUCAGGAGUUCGAGACCAGCCUAGCCAACAUAGUGAAACCCCAUCUCCACUAAAAAUACAAAAAUUAGCCGGGCAUGGUGACCGGCACCUGUAGUCCCAGCUGCUCAGGAGGCUGAGGCAAGAGAAUCGUUUGAAACCAGAAGGCAGAGAUUUCAGUGAACUGAGAUCAUGCCACUGCACUCCCACUUGGGUGAAGGAGUAACACUCCGUCUCAUAAAUAAAUUAAUUAAUAAGAAAAAUUAGCCGGGCAUGGUGGUGCACACCUGUAAUCCCAGCUACUCAGGAGACUGAGGCAGGAGAAUUGCUUGAACCUGGAAGGCGGAGGUUGCAGUGAGCUGAGAUCGCACCAUUGUACUCCAGCCUGGGUGACAGAGCAAGACUCCAUCUCAAAAGAAAAAAAAAGAAAAAAA